GAUAUGCUGUCUGCAAGCUGAGGAAGAAGGAAGCCAAUAGUGGCUCAGUCAGAGUUCAGAAGCCUCAAAAGCAGGGAAGCUGAUAGUAUAGCCUUCAGUCUGUGGCUGAAGGCCUGAGAGCCCCUGGAAAACCACUGGUGUAAGUCCAAGAGUCCAGAAGCUGAAGAACCUGGAGUCUGAUGACCAAGGGCAGGAAGCAUCCAGCACGGGACAAAGAAGAAAGCCAGAAGACUCAGCAAGCCAGCUCAUCUCACUUUCUUCUGCCUACUUUGUUGUAGCUGAGCUGGCAGCCAGUUGGAUGGUGCACACUCACAUUGAGGAUUGGGAGGCUGCUGUGUAUGGAUAAGAUACCUGCUACAGCCAGCUUGACACCAUGAGAAGGACAAGAGAAUUGCAGAGACACAUAUCCAGGAUUCUGAUCCAGUUGAGGCACUGAAAUAAUCUAGAACCACCUUCAAAUUUCUUAUAAAGAGAGUACUGACGGGGUUUCACCAUGUUGGCCGGGCUGGUCCCAAACUCCUGACCUCAAGUGAUCUGCCUGCCUCGGCCUCUCAAAGUGCUGGGAUUAUAGGCUUGAGCUACUGUGCCCAGCUGAGAGCAAUUUUUAAAAG
rnacentral:lncRNA from 1 species